rnacentral:rRNA from 1 species
AUUGAACGCUGGCGGCAGGCUUAACACAUGCAAGUCGAACGGUAACAUAAAGAAGCUUGCUUCCUUGAUGACGAGUGGCGGACGGGUGAGUAAUGCUUGGGAAUCUAGCUUAUGGAGGGGGAUAACUACGGGAAACUGUAGCUAAUACCGCGUAAUAUCGAAAGAUUAAAGUGUGGGACCUUCGGGCCACAUGCCAUAAGAUGAGCCCAAGUGGGAUUAGGUAGUUGGUGAGGUAAAGGCUCACCAAGCCGACGAUCUCUAGCUGGUCUGAGAGGAUGACCAGCCACACUGGGACUGAGACACGGCCCAGACUCCUACGGGAGGCAGCAGUGGGGAAUAUUGCGCAAUGGGGGCAACCCUGACGCAGCCAUGCCGCGUGAAUGAAGAAGGCCUUCGGGUUGUAAAGUUCUUUCGGUAGCGAGGAAGGCAUUUAGUUUAAUAAACUAGGUGAUUGAC